rnacentral:sRNA from 2 species
GGGCAGCCAUCGCCGAGUUCCGGGGCUCGUACCCGGGAGCCGGGGACCCAUGUGUCCCAUGGGGUGAAUCGGGCGCCGUCCGCGGUGGCCGUAGGAGACCUUCCUGCUCCGAACCCGUCAGCUAACCCGGUAGGCGAGAGGGAAGGAAAGG